GGUGGCUCAGUGGUAGAGUGCUUGCCUAGCAUGCAUGAGGCCCUAGGUUUGAUUCCUUAGCACCA
rnacentral:tRNA from 1 species